UCCCCUACGGGGGGCAGCAGUGGGGAAUAUUGCACAAUGGGGGAAACCCUGAUGCAGCGACGCCGCGUGAGUGAAGAAGUAAUUCGUUAUGUAAAGCUCUAUCAGCAGGGAAGAAAAUGACGGUACCUGAGUAAGAAGCCCCGGCCAACUACGUGCCAGCAGCCGCGGUAAUACGUAGGGGGCAAGCGUUAUCCGGAUUUACUGGGUGUAAAGGGGGCGCAGACGGCGAUGCAAGCCAGGAGUGAAAGCCCGGGGCC
rnacentral:rRNA from 1 species